rnacentral:rRNA from 1 species
ACGUAAUAGAUACCCUGGUAGUCCACGCCCUAAACGAUGUAAACUCGACAUCAGCGAUAUACUGUUGGUGUCCAAAGCGAAAAAAGCGUUAAGUUUACCACCUGGGAAGUACGACCGCAAGGUUGAAACUCAAAGGAAUUGGCGGGGGUUCCGCACAAGCGGUGGAGCAUGUGGUUUAAUUCGAUGAUACGCGAGGAACCUUACCUGGGCUAGAAUGCAGUCUGACCGAUCCUGAAAGGGGUCUUUGUAGCAAUACACAGAUUGCAAGGUGCUGCAUGGUUGUCGUCAGCUCGUGCCGUGAGGUGUUGGGUUAAGUCCCGCAACGAGCGCAACCCCUAUCUUUAGUUGCCAGCGAGUAAUGUCGGGGUACUCUAAAGAGACUGCCUGCGUAAGCAGAGAGGAAGGAGGGGUAUGACGUCAAAUCAUCAUGGCCUUUAUGCCCAGGGCUACACACGUGCUACAAUGGUAGGGCAAAGGGCUGCAAAUCAGCGAUGGUGAGCCAAUCCCAAAAACCCGUAUCUCAGUUCGGAUUGAA